rnacentral:rRNA from 1 species
GACGAACGCUGGCGGCGUGCUUAACACAUGCAAGUCGAACGGAAAGGCCCUGCUUGCAGGGUACUCGAGUGGCGAACGGGUGAGUAACACGUGGGUGAUCUGCCCUGCACUUCGGGAUAAGCCUGGGAAACUGGGUCUAAUACCGGAUAGGAGCCAUUUUUAGUGUGAUGGUUGGAAAGUUUUUUCGGUGUAGGAUGAGCUCGCGGCCUAUCAGCUUGUUGGUGGGGUAAUGGCCUACCAAGGCGGCGAGGGGUAGCCGGCCUGAGAGGGUGGACGGCCACAUUGGGACUUAGAGACGGCCCAGACUCCUACGGGAGGCAGCAGUGGGGAAUAUUGCACAAUGGGCGCAAGCCUGAUGCAGCGACGCCGCGUGGGGGAUGACGGCCUUCGGGUUGUAAACUCCUUUCGCUGGGGACGAAGCUUUUUGUGACGGUACCUAGAUAAGAAGCACCGGCUAACUACGUG